GUUAUUUUAUUAAACCACAUUGCUUAUAAAUUAUUAAUUUAUAAUUAAUUAUAAAUUAAAGUUUUCAGAGAGAAGAGAGCAGAGCCCAGUGAUGUGUCUGUGAAGAACUAUGGAGGAGGAAGCUCUGAAUCACGACUGCAGAAAUCCAGAGGAGAACCACCAGAACCCAGCUGUGUCUAUGAAGAGUGAUGACUCUAUGAGAACGCCUCCUACCUUCAGUGAUGGAGCAGAACCUCCAGAACCCAGCUGUGUGUCUAUGAAGAGUGACAACUCAAUGAGAACACCUCCUACCUUCAGUAAUGGAGCAGAACCUCCAGAACCCAGCUGUGUGUCUAUGAAGAGUGACAACUCAAUGAGAACGCCUCCUACCUUCAGUAAUGGAGCAGAACCUCCAGAACCCAGCU
rnacentral:lncRNA from 1 species